GCGGGGAGAGCCAGCGGGAGCCCCGCCACAGCCCGCCGCCCUGUGCCCCCCCGGCCGCCGGCGGGGCGAGGCCACGCUGUCCAGGUGUUUUUCAGGUUUACACAGAAGCAUCAUCAGGAAUUCGGCUCUGUACCUUAUUUUGGCAGGCAUCUAGCUCACCAUUGUUGUGAUAGUUCUGUGGAAGUAGAACUUGUUCAUGGUAAUGUAUUUAGAAACAUGCUAAUAUAUUAUGAGUUGUUGAGUUCAGACUACCUUGGUGCCAUCAGGUAUUUAUGGAUUGUUUUAUAUAUGCUGCUGUUAAAGUACUGCUUUUUCUAUUUUCAGUUCAAACUAAACAGAGAGGUUCUAACGUAAUCUUUAUAUUUUGCACUGCUGUCCUGACUUAAAACAGAAGUUCAUUAUGGAAAAAAGCAAAGAAGUUCCAGUUUUCCAGUUUUCAAGCCAAUAUAAAGCUAAUUUGUGAUGGCAUAAUCAAAUUUUUACUGAGUUAAUUAGAAAAAAAUUUGGAAAAUCAUGGAUUUGCAAAACUGCAGCUAGUUUAUAUUGUCAUUGGAAGAAUUGGAGAAUCCUUUUCUUUCUUCAUGAAUCUGUUAGAUUCAUCCAUAUGAAUAUAUAGGGUCAUAUUUUAAUUGCCAUCUAGACAUAAAGGAUAUUAUAAUCCUGAGUAAAUUGAAUAUAUUGGAUUAGCAUCUCAGAUUUCUGCUUAUUUUUUAGAUCUCCAAGUACUAAUCUGAGACAUCGUUCUGAAAAAAUAUUUUUUGUCUGUAUCUUGUAAUUUUUUUGUAAUCAAUUUCACAUUUUAAUUUUUUUUAUUUCUUCUUAUUUUACUUAUUUAUCUCUCCAAAACAGAGGUGAAAGACCUGCUUUGCUUAAAAUUUUAGAUAGCUUUCCUUUUACCUUCUUUUAAAUACCCCUUUCACUUGUUACAGCGUCCUGCCAAAAAUCAGGAUGUUCGUUCAUUUUAGACGAACAUAGGGUAUUUUUAUUUUGCUGUGAAAUGUUGUUAAGUUUCUUAUUUGUUAGUUAUUGUACCAUACAUCAUAGUCUGUAAUACCUGUGUGUACUUACAUCAUACUCUAAAACCCAAAAAUACACUUCUCACUGUCCACAAAAUAUAUCUACAUAGUAAUGUGUGCAUUUGCCUGUAUUCAUACAAUGUACAUGUACUCACAUGUUACCAAAUCUUGAAUAAUUCAGUAUUCUUCUAGUAUUUUGUUUCUUAAGAUUCUCACAUGCUCGCAAUAGGAACUAAUCUUCUGUUUCUUCAACCUGUGCAUUUAUGGUUACACCACACAAUAAGGAGUUUAAGUUCUGUUUCUAGGAACCUCUUAAAACGUCGCAUGAGACUUCUACAUGUUCCUUAGGCUCUUUGCCUUAAGUUCCCUAUCUAUAAGUGAUUUUAACAGGUACAAGUUAAUUAGAACAGUGGUGAGUAAUUGAACAGAGAAAUCCCAGAUUUCUGGUUUCUAACCAAUUUUAAAAUAUUUCGGAUAAGUUUUCAUGCUUUGCGUGUAUGUGGCUGAAACAAUAGAGGCUGUAAUAGGAAAGCCUGCGAUUGAAAUGGUAGGCUAUGGAACUAUGUCAUAUGUCAUCUUCUACUGUGCAGUUUUAGAUAGAAUAAUUUUUAAAAACUUGGCUAGAGCCCAAGGUUACAGGCUGCAUACAUAAGCCUCUGCAAUUAAGUUGUAAGCUUAAAGAAAAAUUGAUGAGUAAGAUAUAUUAAAGGAAGACCGAAGUAAAGAGCGUUGUAAGAAAUAGGAAUACUAGAAACAGGUUAAUGUGGUGUUAUAGAUGUUUUGUUAGCAUUUUUGGUUCAGUAGUCUCUCUUGUUUCCUUGGGGAUCUACCAAAGCCAUCUUGUAGAACUCAAAAAGUGGGGGGAAAAAAAAAAGUUUGAUAGAGAAGAAAGCAAAUCAUAUAUUUAUAAUGAAAGUAAAGGAUCUUUGCUGACUUUUAUAUUUUUAGGAUGCAUUUUUUUUGUGAAAGUUAGUUACAAAAGGAUCUGGCACUUCCCCUUUUUGAUGUAAGUAAAGAAGAAUAAUGAUUACUGACAUAUAUUUGGAUUUUUGUUUGUUUUUUUGUAGUCUGUCAUUGUGCCUGUUCACAAUAGUGAAUGCUGGUUAGAUGAAUGCUUGAAGUCAGUUUGGGAACAAGAUUUUAAAGAAACCAUGGAGCUUUCAGUUUUUAAUGAUGCCAGUAAGGACUGUUCAGCUGAAAUAAUUGAAAAAUGGAAGAUCACGUUGGAAGAUGCUGGUGUGCCAGUAAUCAUUGGUAGUAAUGGUUCAUCUCAGCCUCGAGGCGUUGGAUUUGCUAAAAAUCAAGCAGUAAUUCAGAGCUCAGGAACCUAUCUCUGCUUUCUGGAUUCAGAUGAUGUGAUGAUGCCACAGCGAGUUAGACUGCAGCAUGAAGCUGCCAUUCAACGCCCAAACAGUAUCAUUGGUUGCCAAGUCAGAAGAGAGCCACAGGACUCUACUGAACGGUAUACUCGUUGGAUCAAUAGUCUGUCUGAAGAACAACUUCUUACACAGGUGUUUACCUCCCAUGGACCUACUGUGAUCAUGCCAACCUGGUUCUGUUCUCGAGAAUGGUUUUUUCACGUGGGAAAAUUCGAUGAAGGUGGAAAGGGCGUGCCAGAAGAUUUGCUGUUUUUUUAUAAACAUAUCCAAAAGGGCGGUGAAGUCUUUCGAGUAAACCAUUGCCUCCUGCUCUACCGUUACCAUCCACAGGCUGCAACUCAUUCCGUCCUAGAGGGAACCAUCUGGAAUCACCGAGUCAGGUUUCUUGAAGACAGAGUCCUGAGCUCCUGGACAUCAUUCACCAUUUGGAAUGCUGGCAAGCAAGGCAAGAAGCUCUACAGAAGCUUGUCCCCAGCUAAUCGGAAAAAGGUAACUGCAUUUUGUGAUGUUGAUGAAAAGAAAAUAACAAAAGGAUUCUACACUUACGAAGAAUCUGAGGAGAGACCAAAGCCAAAAAUUCCUAUAUGUCACUUCAGAGACGCAACUCCACCUUUCAUUAUCUGCGUGAAGCUGGAUUUGACAGGCGGAGCAUUUGAAACAAACCUGAACACGCUGAACUUGAAGGAAGGGAUGGAUUAUUACCACUUCAACUAGAACCCAAGGAGCACACUUCCAUACUUUACCUUGGACACCAGCUGCGGUUUGGGCACUUUCAUGAGGUCACAGAGACAGUUGCGUUUCUCCCUUACUACUGGCAGUUCAGCUUCCCUGCACGAGGAAGUGUUUUCCAGUUAAUUCAACAAUUCAAACCUGAAGUUGGCUACAUGCAUACAACUAACUCCUUAUUGCUUUAGAAAACUUCACAUCAAGAAUUUAAAUAAAUGUCACUGGAUUACUCUCUGAAGAGGCUUUCUCCUGAAAUUGAAAAUACAGACCUUAAAUUUGUGACUCUAAUGUACAAUGCUAAAAAUUUGCCAAAAGGGAACAAAACAGGGCCAAAAUUAUGGAGAGUAUUCCCUCCUCCUGCCACUUCAAAGGUGCUGAGGAAGGAGUUCCUCCUGCCCCUGAAGGACACGCGUGAAGAAUGAGCCCCUGUUCCCCUGCGCCUGGAAGAAGCUAAUGUUACAGCUUGCAGAGAUCCUUCCUCUCCCAAAAUCCUGCCAGUGUUCCUAAAUGCCAAGAAACUGUCUGUGCAGUUGAAGUUUGACUGUUUGCACAGCGCUGUCUCUCUCUCUCUCUGUUUCAUGGACAAUUUCCAAGAUCUCCUCCCUUUUUAUGUUGUUAGAAAAAUAUGGGUAUUUUACUUUAUCUAGUGGUGACUUUCUACAUACCGCCUCCAGUGGGACAAUAUACUAGAUAGUUCUAAACAACUGAAGAAUUCUUUUCAGCAAUGCUUUUCUGGCCCAGAAGCAAUAAACAGCUAAAACUACAGUAUCGUUUCUUACAGCUUCCUUGCCAUCAGCUUUCAAAGGCAUCGACUUUUUAACUCCAGUGGUACAAAAAUUAUUUCCGUGCUUAUUACUAUCUGGCAACAAAUUCACCUACCAGUUGGUA